UACGACUACAUAUCAGGCAUAUCAAUAAGCGGAGGAAAGAAACUAACUAGGAUUCCCUCAGUAACGGCGAGUGAAGCGGGAAGAGCUCAAAUUUGAAAUCUUCAAGGUUCUACCUUGACGAAUUGUAGUUUAAAGAAGUGUUUUCUGUUGAAGUUUCGGUAAAAGUUCUUUGGAAUAGGACAUCAUAGAGGGUGAGAAUCCCGUAUUUGACCGUUAUUUUCAGCUGUGUGAUACACUUUCAAAGAGUCGGAUUGUUUGGGAAUGCAGUCCAAAAUGGGUGGUAAAUUUCAUCUAAAGCUAAAUAUUGGCGAGAGACCGAUAGCGAACAAGUACCGUGAGGGAAAGAUGAAAAGAACUUUGAAAAGAGAGUUAAACAGUACGUGAAAUUGUCAAAGGGGAAGCGUUUGACACCAGUGUUGUUUUCUCGAAAAUCAAUUAAAAAUGGCCGGAUUUUGUGUUGUAUUGACUUUAUCAGCUUUCUGCACUUUUUUCUUGUCUUUUUUAAUGCACUUUUCGUUUAACAAGUCAACAUCAAUUUCUUUUGUUGUAAAAGAGUCAUUGGAAGGUGGCUUUCAUUUCGGUGAAAGUGUUUAUAGCCUUUGACUUCUGCAAUCGGAGAGAUUGAGGUCUGCAGCGUAGAUCCUUCGGGGUUAGAUACAUUUGUGCUAAGUUAUAGUUUUUCAUAGACAACAUGUUGACUAUGAUUAAUCAUGUAGCUUACUCGCUUAUGCUAUUUUACCUACGCUUAGGAUGUUGAACGCGCACAGAGUCUC
rnacentral:rRNA from 1 species